UGAGGAAUAUUGGACAAUGGGGGCAACCCUGAUCCAGCCAUGCCGCGUGAGUGAAGAAGGCCUUAGGGUUGUAAAGCUCUUUCAAACGUGAAGAUAAUGACGGUAGCGUUAGAAGAAGCCCCGGCUAAAUUCGUGCCAGCAGCCGCGGUAAUACGAAUGGGGCAAGCGUUGUUCGGAAUCACUGGGCUUAAAGCGUAUGUAGGCGGACAUGAAAGUCAGGAGUGAAAUCCCAGGGCUCAACCCUGGAACUGCUCUUGAAACUCCAUGUCUAGAAUCCCGGAGGGGCCAGCAGAAUUCCUAGUGUAGAGGUGAAAUUCGCAGAUAUUAGGAGGAAUACCAGUGGCGUAGGCGGCUGGCUGGACGGGUAUUGACGCUCAGAUACGAAAGCGUGGGGAGCAAACAGGAUUAGAUACCCCCGUAGUCC
rnacentral:rRNA from 1 species